AAUAGAUACCCUGGUAGUCCACGCCGUAAACGAUGAGUGCUAAGUGUUAGAGGGUUUCCGCCCUUUAGUGCUGAAGUUAACGCAUUAAGCACUCCGCCUGGGGAGUACGGUCGCAAGACUGAAACUCAAAGGAAUUGACGGGGGCCCGCACAAGCGGUGGAGCAUGUGGUUUAAUUCGAAGCAACGCGAAGAACCUUACCAGGUCUUGACAUCCCGCUGACCGCCAUGGAGACAUGGCUUUCCCUUCGGGGACAGCGGUGACAGGUGGUGCAUGGUUGUCGUCAGCUCGUGUCGUGAGAUGUUGGGUUAAGUCCCGCAACGAGCGCAACCCUUGUCCUUAGUUGCCAUCAUUCAGUUGGGCACUCUAAGGAGACUGCCGUACAAAUACGGAGGAAGGUGGGGAUGACGUCAAAUCAUCAUGCCCCUUAUGACCUGGGCUACACACGUGCUACAAUGGGCAGUACAAAGGGCUGCGAACCCGCGAGGGGGAGCCAAUCCCAAAAAAGCUGCUCUCAGUUCGGAUUGCAGGCUG
rnacentral:rRNA from 1 species